rnacentral:rRNA from 1 species
UACGAAGGGGGCUAGCGUUGCUCGGAAUCACUGGGCGUAAAGGGUGCGUAGGCGGGUCUUUUAAGUCAGGGGUGAAAUCCUGGAGCUCAACUCCAGAACUGCCUUUGAUACUGAAGAUCUUGAGUUCGGGAGAGGUGAGUGGAACUGCGAGUGUAGAGGUGAAAUUCGUAGAUAUUCGCAAGAACACCAGUGGCGAAGGCGGACUCACUGGCCCGGUACUGACGCUGACG